CUGAGCCUCUUGUGAAAGUAUUUCCAGGAGCUGUUCUGGGGUAAUCACAAGCUUCACUUUCCAAAACCCAUUGUUGUUACACCUCGAGGAGGAUUCAGUGGAAGACCUCUUCAGCAUUCCUUGAUAAUCAAAAGACAUCCUGUAAGGAGUGACAAAAGAUGAAGGUAUGCUCUUUGAUCUAACAUGGCCUUCUCGCACCACUUGGCCACCAAUUUUUGUGUUGCUGAGUGGAAGUAAAUAGUAGGAGUGUCCUGCUAGGAGAUCUUCAUGGAGAGAGAGAGGUCUCCAGAAAAGAUCAUGGCUUGGAUAAAUGGCAUGACCGGGAAACUCAUUGGUGAUGCAUCCUGCUGUUAUCGGCCCUGAAAACUCCAAGAUGCCACCGCUAGAUGCUAUCACUUUGACUGCUCCACCACCCUCUCCUCCAAGGCCUCCAAACAUGCAGUUUCCCAUAUGAUCUGUUAAUUAACAAUAUAAAAUGAAUGUUUUCUGUAUAUACAAAGCCAAAAGAAAACAACCCUUCUCUCCUUCUCUUAUAAAUGCUUGGAGGGUAUAAAGAGAGGGAAAGUUCUGGAGGGAAAACAAUCGUCGGUGGGAUUCUCCUUCUUUGGGGCUUCCUAAGACCCACAAGAGAAACAAAAGGCAGGAAAAGAAAGGGAACCACCGCCACCACUUACUACUAUAGGUAGCUCCAUAUAGGUAGUCCCACUGUUCAUACACAG
rnacentral:misc_RNA from 1 species